ACCUGGGUGGCUCAGUCGGUUGAGCGUCCGACUUCGGCUCAGGUCAUGAUCUCACAGUUUGUGGGUUCGAGCCCCACAUCGGGCU
rnacentral:tRNA from 1 species